CCUCCCCAUCUAAGAGUCUCUUCUGAAUCCCCGCGAAGUCAAUCGUCCGUCUUCUCGCGAGAGUCCGGACGGCGCGGUGCCGGCUGCUGAAGAGUAUUUAGAGAUAUAAAAAUUUCCCUAAGAACUGCUUUGGCUGCAUCCCAUAAGUUUUGUUUUCAGGCUAGUGACAUUGCAGCAAUGGCAGAGUAUGGAAUCUCAACUGGGCAACGUGUGGCGGUGAUAUGGGAUAGGUCAUCUCCAGUAGAGGCUCUGAAAAGUCUCGUGGAUAAACUACAGGAACUGGCUGGUGAUGAGAGUCACGUGUCUGUGGAAAACAUCGACCAGCUGUUACAAUCUGCUCACAAAGAAUCCAGCUUCGAUGUUGUUUUGUCGGGUCUGGUUCCAGGAAGUACAACACUGCAUAACACUGAAAUUUUGGCAGAAAUUGCCAGGAUCCUUCGACCAGGUGGGCAAGUCCUUUUGAAAGAGCCAGUGGAGACAACCUCAGUUCACGAAAGCAAGGUGAAGACAGCAGCUAAAUUAUGCUCAACCCUGACACUUUCUGGCCUUGUGGAAGUGAAGGAGUUACAGAAAGAGUCCUUAACUCCGGAGGAGGUGCAGUCAGUACAGGAGCACCUGGGUUAUCAGAGUGACAGCUUAGUCUCCAUUCAGGUCACAGGCAAAAAACCCAACUUUGAAGUAGGCUCUUCUACCCAGCUUAAGCUUUCCUUUCCCAGGAAGUCUGCUCUGUCAGAAAAACCUGCUGUGGACCCUAAUGCUGCCAAGCUGUGGACACUUUCAGCCAGUGAUAUGAAUGAUGAUGGCAUGGAUCUCAUUGACUCUGAUGAACUCUUGGAUCCAGAAGAUUUGAAGAAGCCAGAUCCAUCUUCCCUACGGACUGCUUCAUGUGGAGAAGGGGCAAAAAGGAAGGCAUGUAAAAAUUGCACGUGUGGCCUAGCAGAAGAACUGGAGCAGGAGAAAGCGAAGGAGCAGAGGAGAUCCCAACCCAAGUCAGCUUGUGGAAAUCUUAUGAGCCAAAAGAUUACAAGUAAGACAAAGUGAAGCAGACCUCUAUUGGAGAAGAGAAGUCCCCUACCUCUUGAGGACAUUAAGCAUUCUCAGAGACCCUAUAGCUGUUUUAUGUGUUAUUUGGGUGAUGCCUUCCGCUGUGCCAGCUGCCCCUAUCUUGGGAUGCCAGCUUUUAAGCCUGGGGAGAAAAUCCUUUUGAGUGAAAAAAAUCUUCAUGAUGCCUAAAAGCAAAAUCACUGGGACUUAUAAGGGUUAUUCCAUUCCAGAAACUGACUCCAGAACUCAUUUCAGCAACCCUUCAUGCCCCACCUGUUUGUCUCAUGCCUCCCUCUGUGUUGGAAUUCUAGAUGGGGUUGGCUUGGUAGACAUGCAGAAAUUUGGGUAUAUAUGCUGCUAUGAACCUAAGGACUGAGCUGUAAUCAGCCAGAUUAAUUUGCUUUGGGCUAUCUGAUUCUUCACUGGAACUUGAAUUGAAGGUAUAGGGAAUUUCCAUCUAAUUAAUACAUGGGAAAAGUCACCCUUUCCAUGUUAGAAUUUGGUAACCUGAUCACACUCUAUUUGGGACCAGAGCCCAACCUGUCAUCUUGGAUCAUACCGCCCUUGAACAUAGUUAUCCUUUAGUGUUAAACUUAUGUGAUGAAUCUCCAGAUCACAAAUCUGUCUCCUAAAUUUAUCAAUAACCAAUUACUUGUUACAUGAGCAAGCAUAUUUUUCAGUCUGUAGUUAUUGGAAAAGAUAGCCAAGUGUUGUACAGACUCCUUAGAGUAACUAACUUCCUGUCCAGAUGGAUUUCUGAAACCUUUUGAACCAUUCAUAUUUUGAAUCAAACUCCUCCUCACUGUCUCAAACCAUUAUUAUUGUCAUCUGGACAUUGGUGAAUUAGAAUUGGAGCUGUGUCCUUUUUCCAUAUCUGAAUUUGUCAGUGUUAGAAAAAUGCACUCCUGUAUACCAGCUCCAGGGGCACAUGUGUGUGCAUGUGCGUGUGUGCGUGUGUGUGUGAAGAGAAAGAACUGACUCUGCAGUAACCAUAAAAACGCUUUCACCUAAGUGAGGGACCUGAGCUCACAUCUGACUUUAGAUAACACAUUCAUAUUUAUUAUCAUAUCUGGUGGCACAUCAGGGAGUCAGUGUCAUAAGCAAAUAAUCCUUCAGUUAUGGAAUGGAGUGACCUUUCUUCAUCUGCCCAGAACUGUUCUCUCUGGGGACCUGAAGAUCAGGGCUCAAACCAGCUGUAUUUACUUCUGUCUUUCUUGCUGUAAGGACUAGGAUCCGAUUUUGCCAAAUGUUGACAAAUUGUGGAUUUAGGGGAACUGGAAUUUCAGCACUGUGACUGAUAAAUAAAGUGUUUUAAAUGAUCUUAAA